rnacentral:tRNA from 1 species
GGGGCUGUAGCUCAGUUGGGAGAGCGCCUGCUUUGCAAGCAGGGGGUCGUCGGUUCGAUUCCGUCCAGCUCCACCA